GAUGAACGCUGGCGGCGUGCCUAAUACAUGCAAGUCGAGCGAACGGACGAGAAGCUUGCUUCUCUGAUGUUAGCGGCGGACGGGUGAGUAACACGUGGAUAACCUACCUAUAAGACUGGGAUAACUUCGGGAAACCGGAGCUAAUACCGGAUAAUAUUUUGAACCGCAUGGUUCAAAAGUGAAAGACGGUCUUGCUGUCACUUAUAGAUGGAUCCGCGCUGCAUUAGCUAGUUGGUAAGGUAACGGCUUACCAAGGCAACGAUGCAUAGCCGACCUGAGAGGGUGAUCGGCCACACUGGAACUGAGACACGGUCCAGACUCCUACGGGAGGCAGCAGUAGGGAAUCUGACGCAAUGGGCGAAAGCCUGACGGAGCAACGCCGCGUGAGUGAUGAAGGUCUUCGGAUCGUAAAACUCUGUUAUUAGGGAAGAACAUAUGUGUAAGUAACUGUGCACAUCUUGACGGUACCUAAUCAGAAAGCCACGGCUAACUACGUG
rnacentral:rRNA from 1 species